rnacentral:rRNA from 1 species
UUGGAGGGCAAGUCUGGUGCCAGCAGCCGCGGUAAUUCCAGCUCCAAUAGCGUAUAUUAAAGUUGUUGCAGUUAAAAAGCUCGUAGUUGAAUUUCGGAGUUUGUCGGUUGGUCGGGCUUCAUUGUCCGCACUGGCCUGAUGGAUUCCUACCUUCUGAAUAACCAGCAUGCUAUUAAGUUAGUGCGUUGGGGAAGCAGAGCUAUUACCUUGAAAAAAUUAGAGUGCUUAAAGCAGGCUUAUGCUUGAAUAGAUUAGCAUGGAAUAAUAAAAUAGGACGGCAUGGUUCUAUUUCGUUGGUUUCUAGGAUCACCGUAAUGAUUAAUAGGGAUAGUUGGGGGCAUUAGUAUUCAAUUGUCUGAGGUGAAAUUCUUGGAUUUAUUGAAGACUAACUUCUGCGAAAGCAUUUGCCGAGGAUGUUUUCAUUAAUCAAGAACGAAAGUUAGGGGAUCGAAGACGAUCAGAUACCGUCGUAGUCUUAACCAUAAACUAUGCCGACUAGGGAUCGGACGAUGUUAAUUUUUUAAUGACUCGUUCGGCGCCUUACGGGAAA